rnacentral:miRNA from 1 species
GGGGGGGGGGGGGGGGGGACU